GAUGAACGCUGGGGCGUGCCUCAUCCAUGCAAGUCGAGCGAACGGACGAGAAGCUUGCUUCUCUGAUGUUAGCGGCGGACGGGUGAGUAACACGUGGAUAACCUACCUAUAAGACUGGGAUAACUUCGGGAAACCGGAGCUAAUACCGGAUAAUAUUUUGAACCGCAUGGUUCAAAAGUGAAAGACGGUCUUGCUGUCACUUAUAGAUGGAUCCGCGCUGCAUUAGCUAGUUGGUAAGGUAACGGCUUACCAAGGCAACGAUGCAUAGCCGACCUGAGAGGGUGAUCGGCCACACUGGAACUGAGACACGGUCCAGACUCCUACGGGAGGCAGCAGUAGGGAAUCUUCCGCAAUGGGCGAAAGCCUGACGGAGCAACGCCGCGUGAGUGAUGAAGGUCUUCGGAUCGUAAAACUCUGUUAUUAGGGAAGAACAUAUGUGUAAGUAACUGUGCACAUCUUGACGGUACCUAAUCAGAAAGCCACGGCUAACUACGUG
rnacentral:rRNA from 1 species